AGGGAUGCCUCCUUUCCUUCUUCCUUAACCUCCACGCCCUAUAAUCUGAUGAGAUCAGAUCUAAGAGAGAAACAAAGAGAGAUAGGAAGAGAAGAAGAAAGGUUUUUCUAUUCUUCUUAGUGAUCUGGUUCAGAUCUUGUCAGAUCUGUACGAAAGAGUUCGCGCAGCGUUCAUCUUCUUUGAGAUCUAGAAGAAGAGAUUUAGAUCCAAGACUGAAAAAUGAGAUUUGCAAGGUGUUAGCACACCA
rnacentral:lncRNA from 1 species